rnacentral:rRNA from 1 species
CGGGUGCUUGCACCUGGUGGCCAGUGGCGAACGGGAGCCUAAUACAUCGGAACAUCUCCUGUAGUGGGGGAUAGCCCGGCCAAUGCCGGAUUAUACCGCAUACUAUAUACGGAUGAAAGCGGGGGACCUUCGGGCCUCGCUCUAUAGGGUUCGCCUAUGGCUUAUUAUCUAAUUCGCUGGGGUAAACGCCUACCAAGGCCUACCAUCAACAUCUGGUCUUAGAAGACCACCACCCACAAUGGGACUGAAACGCCGCCCACUACUCCUACCGGACGGCAGCAAGUGGGGAAUUUGGGACAAUUUGGGCGAAAGCCUGAUCACUCAAUGGCCUCGCGUGUUGAAGGAACGACAUUCCUGGGUGUAAAAGCACUUUUGUCCGGAAGAAAUCCUUGGCUUUAAUAACAGUCGGGGGAUGACGGUACCCGGAAGAAUAAGCACCCGACUAAACUACGUUGCCAGCAGCCGUCGGUAAUACGUAGGGUGCGAGCGUUAAAUCGGGAAUUUACUGGGCGUAAAGCGUGCGCAGGCGGUUUGCUAAGGACCCGAUGUGAAAUCCCCGGGCUCAACCUGGGAACUGCAUUGGUGACUGGCAGGCUAGAGUAUGGCAGAGGGGGGGUAGAAAUUCCACGUGUAGCAGUGAAAAUGCGUAGAGAUGUGGAGGAAUACCGAUGGCGAAGGCAGCCCCCUGGGCCAAUACUGACACUUCACAUCUGACUUAACGAAACCGCCUGCGUGAGCAAACAGGAUUAGAUACCCUGGUAGUCCACGCCCUAAACGAUGUCAACUAGUUGUUGGGGAUUCAUUUCCUUAGUAACGUAGCUAACGCGUGAAGUUGACCGCCUGGGGAGUACGGUCGCAAGAUUAAAACUCAAAGGAAUUGACGGGGACCCGCACAAGCGGUGGAUGAUGUGGAUUAAUUCGAUGCAACGCGAAAAACCUUACCUACCCUUGACAUGGUCGGAAUCCCGCUGAGAGGUGGGAGUGCUCGAAAGAGAACCGGCGCACAGGUGCUGCAUGGCUGUCGUCAGCUCGUGUCGUGAGAUGUUGGGUUAAGUCCCGCAACGAGCGCAACCCUUGUCCUUAGUUGCUACGCAAGAGCACUCUAAGGAAACUGCCGGUGACAAACCGGAGGAAGGUGGGGAUGACGUCAAGUCCUCAUGGCCCUUAUCGGUAGGGCUAUCACCCACGUACAGGACAAUGGUCCGAUGUAUUACACACCCGUUCGCCAACCCGUCAGCAAAGGAAGCUAAGCUUCUUCCAGAAAACCGAUCGUAGUCCGGAUUGCACUCUGCAACUCGAGUGCAUGAAGCUGGAAUCGCUAG